GGGCGCAUAGCUCAGUUGGUUAGAGCGCAUCUAUCACACAGAUGAGGCCCGGGGUUCGAGUCCCUGUGCGCCCACAA
rnacentral:tRNA from 1 species